AUUUCAAUUUCAGAGUCCCACACCCUUAAAAACCCUAAUCUCAAUCAAUCAAGCAAGGAGUAGGAAACCUCAAAUGAAUUCAUAGACUAAAAUAGUCAGAGUGAAGAAGGAAGGAGUAGGAAGACAAGCCACUUCGGGCAUAGGCUUAGGGGGGCGGUAGGAAAUUCGUAUCUCUGAAUCGUGGCAAAUGGAAAUGCUCAGGACAUGCUUUGUUAUGAUCACCAUUGCCCUCGUCUUCUCUCUGUUGCUUCCUUCCGCCAAUGCUGCUCAAGUUCCUGCCCCUGCACCUUCCCCAUCAAGCGAUGGGGUUUCGGUUGAUCAAGGAAUAGCAUAUGUCCUGAUGCUUGUUGCUCUGGCAGUUACCUACAUUUUUCACUAGAGAGUACAUAGACAAUUCUGCUCUGUAUUUCAGCUCAACUCACCUUAGAUAAUGAGAUCCUGUCUUUUCUACAAUUAAUUCAAAGCUCAAAUCCAAUUCUUUCUACUUCUGAAGCUUGGACUUCCCAAUUUUGUGCACUUCUCUUAAAUCGCGAAAGGUCUGCACGACCAACCCCACUCCCAAAUCCAAUCACAUUACAGCUUCGGGGUGUAGGUUGAAUGGGAUCUUAAUUCUGCUGGCUCUAUGACAACUCUACUGGGCAAGUUUUGCUUGUAUGCAUUCGUCUCCUUGCAAUCUGUGAAGCUGUUUGAUAUUAUUGUUCCCAGUAAUUGCAAAUUUGGAAAGCUUCCAGUGCCAAGUAAUUUCUUUUUAGUCUA